AAAACAUCACUCUCAUAUGCGGAUAUAAUCACAUUAAAGAACCUUUAGUAUAUACUCUGGAAACACUAGACGGGGGCACGCACUGAGUUAAUGGCCAAGUGAACAGUAUUUCUUACAAAUACCCGCACAUAAAAAUAAUGGGAGAGGGCUGCAGUUGGGAAUUGCCCAUAAUGCUAAGACAGCCACUUUAAGGAAUUUUAAGAGUUUCUUCAUUUUGGAAAAUCAGAAAUCGCACAUGGAUGGACUGAACUGGACUUCAGUUACUGGAUCGUCGGAUCGGGAGAAAUUUUACUUCGAAUAUGCAACUUUUAUCCUGUAAUUUUCAUUUAAAUAUUACAAACUAGUAAUUUUAUGCUGAAAUUUUGCAAAAAAGGAAUUAAAUUUGUUGUCAUAAUUUAAAUUUUUAUUUUACUGGUGCAAACUAUGAAACUGGGGCCACUAAGACAGUGAGAACCAAUCAAAAUGUAGAAUGAAAGCAAUGCAUUCCAGCUUUUUGGGUAGUGGGGCCAUUCAGAAGGCAGCAGAACACAUUAGCCUUUACACAUAUCUUUUUAUUGUCAAAAAAAUGACGUUGGCUAUCUUUGGAAGCUUGUUGGCUGGUAUGAGCAACUGGCUUGCCCAGAACGGCGGUCGUUUGGGUUGAUCACUUUAUUUAAUAUAUUUAAGCUGUAUUAAUAUAAUUAAGAAAUAUUAUACAGUUUCCUGCUUUAGAUACUUUGAACUAAACAUGGUGGAUGCUGAGAGAACACAAUAGAAGCAUAGAAAACCAUGAGACAUAGCAAAAUGGUUUCCAGCUUCUCAAGUAUUCUCUUGGCAUUCCAAGUUUCCAAAAUUGGAAAAAAAUGAUGUAACCAAUCACAGUACACGAAAGAGGUUAUUUUUAAAUUAUCAUUAUUAUUAUUACUGGAUAUAAUUAUUAAUUAUUAUAUUCAUUAUUAUUGAUUAUUUUCGCAUACCCUGAUUGGAAUAAUUACAAACAUCUUUUGUCACUCUGUAAUUUUCACUUUUCUGACCAGCAUAUAGUAGCUUCUACAGCAGGAUGUGGGGGAUUGGGGGCUAAAUUUGGGGGUGAUUUUUUUAAAACUUUUGUACCUUUUAUACAUAUUAUAUAGACAUCCAUUGAAAAUUUAACUUUGACGCUGUAGUGGCCAUCUUGAAUCACAAGGCAUUGUGGGUCAUUCAGGGGCCAAAUAAACAAAGCUUUAUUACAAUAAUGGCAUUCAUAACAAGAAAUUAAAUUUGACAACAGAUGAAUUUGUUAAAAAAAUCACAGUACUACAACUGAUGAAAUUUCUCAAAUAAAGUGUGGUUUGCAUUUCAGUAUAUUUGUUUUUUCUUGCCCCCUGGGCACCCAUAAUGCCUUGUGAUGGGGUGUCUAUAUAAUUUCUAAAUUCAGUAUUAAUAUGUAUACUUACAGUCUUAAUUUCAUCGGGAAACUCUGUUAUAUUUUUCUUCACACAUGGAAUGCAAAACCUCUUUGUGUAGAAUAUACUACAGUUCUGUAAGGAAAAUUAUUGACACAGUGAGCCUGAAGGCUUAUUCCAGUCACACCAGUGGACCUUUGUUCACCAAUCAAGAGUGACAUAGCAGUAAUCUCACUUGCCUCUCAUCAAUAUAUUUCAUGGGCAUUUCCAGGACUUAGCAUAACUUGAGUAGACUCUCUGUUUUCUUAGGUCUUUCUUUUGAUUUGAGGGUUUUUGUUAACAAGUUGUUUGCUUAUAUUAAUAGAGGUAUUUCAAAUAGGCAGAAUGCAGUACUCAGAGCAGUAAAAGCUUUAAYAUUUUGGUGUAGCCUUCCUAAGUCAGAAUGUGUGAAGUCUGCACAAGUCACGUCAUGUGACAAGUGGUCAUAGACCACAGGCAGUUCCAGUCCCAUCUCUAUUCAUUGAUGACGAGAGUUGCUUGAUGAAUACUCUAAUACCUCCUUUAUUUUUCUCUUCAGAUAGUCAUUCUCGUGACUUCACACAUCCUGACUAAGGACGGCUGUGUAAUACAGCCAAAAUAUUCCAUCUCAUAGAUUUCUCUGCUCAGAGUACGGAAUAGACCCCUUCACAGUUCCCUGCACCAUUUUGAUAAAGGUAGUCGUACCUUUGUAUUAAAGUGAGACGAAUGGUGAGCUUGCAAUGAGAAACAUGUGAAUAAUUGAAUUGUCCAAGGUGUUAAAAAGGUCUCUACAGUGUAUCAUUGCAAGUCAUCAUUCAUCUCGCUUCAGUGCAAAGGGAUGGCUACCUUUCAAAAUGACACAGGGAACUGCAAAAGGGACUAUAAUUCUUAAUAUUUCAAAUGUGAAUCCAGAGCAUGAGAACAGUGUUUUUCAAUGUAAUAAGGGUAUAAUCACCUGUCCCACACAAACAUCAGCAGAACACAGUGUACAAUUUGAUCCUAUUGUAAGAUGACUCUGUGUGGGAGAAAAAGGGUCUUGAAUCAAAUAGGCAUCUUCUAACAAUCUAUUAAAUAAAAAAAGACAUUACAAAGAAA